UUCGCACUGGAAACGUUAAUGGCGUCGUGUAAUUAACGCUUUGAUAGUGUUCUUCGAAAAAUGGUGAGUAAAUUGUACCUCGUCGAUGGUUAUUAAACUCGGGGUAAUCAAGUAAAUGGCUCUGCAACACUCUUCCAUCCAUAAAGGAUAAUUUCGAUAAGUAGGAAACAGUUUUCCCGAAGAAAAACCUUCUAGACCCUGCUCCAACAGCCAGAGUAAUCAUCAACCAUUGACAACUUUGAGUGCUAAUCCAGUUGAGAAGAAACAUUUUCAUUCCAAAUGGAAGAUCAUGUGUUCCAUUUUGGGCUCACUGUUUAGGUCACCAUCCACUGAUCUCUAAACGAAUAAGACCACACACAGCAGCUCACAUCUGAUUGAGGUGAUGGGCAUACACCAGCUUAUAUUUCUUUGGAUCGGGAAAAAUGCACUUGCCUCCGUUGUGUUAAUUGUGCCAAUCGUGUAAUUACCAUUUGACUCAACAUGUUUCUAUUCAUUCUGAGACGGAAACUCUAGAUCCUGAUCUCUAUCUCAAUCCCAAGGAUAACUGUUUGGUGAGUUAUGAAGGCAUACAGUACAAUUGAAUACAAGCAGACCUGCCGUAAUCGCGAUUGAAAAUUAAUCGCGAUUGUGAUUUCGAUUAAAUUUUAAUCGACGAUCAAAUUAUUUUAAAAUAAUCGAAAUCGGCGAUUUCGAUUAAAAUUUUUAAUUUAAUCGGGCGAUUAUUUUUCCGAUUAUUUAGCGACAUCUGUGAACGGUAGAUGAGACUAUAUGAAAGUCUACUCAUAGCUUUGUCACUUUUCUAGCAGACGCUUUUUUGAAAUGUUCACUUGUUUCAAUUUUUUAAAUUUAAACAAUGGCAAGUUAUUAUCUUACUGCUAGAUGGCGCUCAAAAAUAAUCGGAAAAACAAUCGCUAAGAAAUUUAAUCGCCGAUCAAAUUUUUUCAACAGACGAAUGAUCGCCGAUCAUUUUUUUUGCGAUUAUCGACGACUACCGAAAAUCGCUCAAGAAAUAAUCGGACGGCAAGUCUGAAUACAAGCACAGACUCCACGCCACGUAGCCGAAAUCCGAUCAAAUUCAUAGGCCUUACACCAACUGAUUUUUCUUCAGAUGAAACAACUUAACUUGAAUGAGACUCCAGUGAGAUUGUGGCGAUGUUUACUUGGAAUUGCCAUUAUUUUAAUAUUUUGAACAAGAUAAUUUAAGAAACAUCCCUGACAAUAUAAAU